rnacentral:rRNA from 1 species
UACAGAGGGUGCGAGCGUUAAUCGGAAUUACUGGGCGUAAAGCGUGCGUAGACGGUUAUUUAAGUCGGGUGUGAAAGCCCCGGGCUCAACCUGGGAAUUGCAUUCGAGACUGAAUAGCUAGGGUACGGUAGAGGGAAGCGGAAUUUCCGGUGUAGCGGUGAAAUGCGUAGAUAUCGGAAGGAACAUCAGUGGCGAAAGCGGCUUCCUGGUCCAGUACCGACGUCAGGCACGAAAGCGUGGGGAGCAAACAGG